rnacentral:rRNA from 1 species
GACGAACGCUGGCGGCGUGCUUAACACAUGCAAGUCGAACGGAAAGGCCCUGCUUUUGUGGGGUGCUCGAGUGGCGAACGGGUGAGUAACACGUGAGUAACCUGCCCUUGACUUUGGGAUAACUUCAGGAAACUGGGGCUAAUACCGGAUAGGAGCUCCUGCUGCAUGGUGGGGGUUGGAAAGUUUCGGCGGUUGGGGAUGGACUCGCGGCUUAUCAGCUUGUUGGUGGGGUAGUGGCUUACCAAGGCUUUGACGGGUAGCCGGCCUGAGAGGGUGGCCGGCCACAUGGGGACUGAGAUACGGCCCAGACUCCUACGGGAGGCAGCAGUGGGGAAUAUUGCACAAUGGGCGGAAGCCUGAUGCAGCAACGCCGCGUGCGGGAUGACGGCCUUCGGGUGGUAAACCGCUUUCGCCUGUGACGAAGCGUGAGUGACGGUAAUGGGUAAAGAAGCACCGGCUAACUACGUG